rnacentral:tRNA from 1 species
GGCCUGGUAGCUCAGUUGGUUAGAGCAUCAUCCGGUAUGCAAGGUCCUGGGUUCAAUCCCCAGUUAGGGCA